GGACUGGGAUCUGGAAGAAACUGCAGGUUUGUUGGGCUGUAUGUUGGGAGAAAUAUAUACAGAUCCCCGUGAUGAAGUCCUGACUAAACCUCAUUGUGCUAUACUGGGAGAUAGGAGUGAGGAAGUAUAUGAAGCCUAAUGUGGUCCUUGAAGUGACCUUUAGCAGGGCCUGUGCUAAAGCAGUAGAAACUGUUGCAAUUGCUGCAGUGUUGUUGCGUAUAUGCUUUUCUAGUAAGAUCAGAUGACCCCGAGAUUCUACCAUACACCAAUUAGAAUUG
rnacentral:lncRNA from 1 species